rnacentral:rRNA from 1 species
CAGGGGAACCUGAUCAGCACGCCGCGUGGAGGAUGACACGCUUUCGGUGCGUAAACUCCUUUUAUAUAAGGAAGAUAAUGACGGGAUUAUAUGAAUAAGCACCGGCUAACUCCGUGCCAGCAGCCGCGGUAAUACGACGUGCCAGCAGCCGCGGUAAUACGAA